rnacentral:tRNA from 1 species
GCUUAUAUAGCUUAACCACAAAGCACAGCGCUGAAAACGCUAAGACGAAUCCUAAAAAGAUUCUAUACGCA